rnacentral:rRNA from 1 species
GAUGAACGCUGGCGGCGUGCCUAAUACAUGCAAGUCGAGCGAACAGACGAGGAGCUUGCUCCUCUGACGUUAGCGGCGGACGGGUGAGUAACACGUGGAUAACCUACCUAUAAGACUGGGAUAACUUCGGGAAACCGGAGCUAAUACCGGAUAAUAUAUUGAACCGCAUGGUUCAAUAGUGAAAGACGGUUUUGCUGUCACUUAUAGAUGGAUCCGCGCCGCAUUAGCUAGUUGGUAAGGUAACGGCUUACCAAGGCCACGAUGCGUAGCCGACCUGAGAGGGUGAUCGGCCACACUGGAACUGAGACACGGCCCAGACUCCUACGGGAGGCAGCAGUAGGAAAUCUUCCGCAAGGGGCGAAAGCCUGACGGAGCAACGCCGCGUGAGUGAUGAAGGUCUUCGGAUCGUAAAACGCUGUUAUUAGGGAAGAACAAAUGUGUAAGUAACUAUGCUAGUCUGGAGGGUACCGAACAAGAAAGCCAGGGUAAACUACGU